CCCCUGGUGGUGAAGUGGUUAAAGCACAGCGCUGUGAACGCUGAGACCCGGGUUCGAGUCCCGGUCAGGGUC